AUCUAGCUGACGAGUCCCAAAUAAAAUGAGACGCUAGUCCUGGAU
rnacentral:hammerhead_ribozyme from 1 species